rnacentral:rRNA from 1 species
GACGAACGCUGGCGGCGUGCUUAACACAUGCAAGUCGAACGGUGAAGCACCUUCCUUUUGGUGGGUGUGGAUGAGUGGCGAACGGGUGAGUAACACGUGAGUAACCUGCCCCCUUCUUCUGGAUAACCGCAUGAAAGUGUGGCUAAUACGGGAUAUUCUGUGCCUGCUGCAUGGUGGGUGUGGGAAAGAUGCGCUUUUGGGUGUUUUUGGUGGGGGAUGGGCUCGCGGCCUAUCAGCUUGUUGGUGGGGUGAUGGCCUACCAAGGCGGUGACGGGUAGCCGGACUGAGAGGGUGGACGGUCACACUGGGACUGAGACACGGCCCAGACUCCUACGGGAGGCAGCAGUGGGGAAUAUUGCACAAUGGGCGCAAGCCUGAUGCAGCGACGCCGCGUGAGGGAUGGAGGCCUUCGGGUUGUAAACCUCUUUCGCCAGUGAAGCAGGCCUGUCCCUUGUGGGUGGGUUGACGGUAGCUGGAUAAGAAGCGCCGGCUAACUACGUG